GCAGGGCAACUUACACGGGUCCUCAGGGUCCGCCCGGGAGACACGCUUGGCUCAUCUGUGACUCGCUGCAUCUCUCCUGGUGAUCAAGCCGGCAGAGAGAGCCCCUUCUCCCCAAGCGGCCACUGCCAGCAUCAUAGUAAUUCGAUUUCUGUUUUGCUGACUUCAAAACUGUCUGGGAGAGUCGAGCCAGUGCCAGCGUUGCCAGGUCCGCGGCGGCUCCCUCUGCCCCCGCCCGGCUGGGUGCUCCCUCCCUCCCGCGGCGCUCGCGGGGCCGGGCGCGCGGAGACACGGUCCCCGGGCCGCUCAGAGCCGCGCGGACCGCAUCGCGCGGUACCCGUGGGCAGAGCCGCCCGCCCCAGGGGCGCCUGCUUCCCGGCCGAGGGACUUGCGCCCACCGCCGCCCGGUUCACUCCGGCGGCCCUCCCUCUAUGUGUCAGAAACUGCAAGGAGAAAUCGCCUUUGGUACAGAUUCCUAAGGCAGCUAUGGCCAGAGGGUGGACAUGGACCUUUGCACAGGGAAUCAACUCGCAGAACUUAACCAAAUAUUGCUGGAGGAUGAAUAUAAAGCAGGAAGUUGAAGAGUUGAAGAGCGUGGGAAAUCUUCCCGGUAUGAUGUUAAAUUAUCCGAGUUCACCUGAGAAUCUGACCCAGGCAGUGGGAGGAGCUGUCUCCACUCUUCCUUGGGAACAGCGGCCCCAACCCAGAGAACACGCGGCUAGAGUGCUCCACACUGCCACCUCCAGGCAGCUCAGGCAACAGCAGCCCCGCGGUGAACGCGGCCUCCUCCUCUGCGUGACUGGCUGCAGAGGAGAGAAAGAGAAAAAACAAGGGGAAAACAUGGCAAUAAAGAUCAAAAUAAAUAACAAGGAAGCAGAGAGGAGAAGGAACAUGGAGGAGAGAGUGCGAAGAAGAGCUUUUCAGGGAGAAGGAGGUGAGUCAUCACUCCUGGAUGGGUGACUGCUUUCAGCCCCCAGAGCACUGCUGCCCAAUAGAAAUAGACUGUGAGCCACAAACUUGAGUUAUGCAUGCUAUUCUAAAUUUUCUAGUAGGAACUUUCAUAGAAUAAGAGGAAACCUAUUACAUUUAACACGUUAUCAUUUUAAUCUGCAAUCAACAUAAUCAACAAUCUGCAAUCUCUU
rnacentral:lncRNA from 1 species